GGAAAGGAGAGGAGAGGACAAAUCCUGGUGCCAAAUCUGUCAAGAUUUGGCACCAACAGAGGGAGAGUUGUUCGAGGGUCAGCUGAACAAGAAAAUGAGGCAUGCUGUCCCUGUGUGGCAUGUUCAUGCCCAUGCCACCUCAUGACUCCUAAUAAGAUGACAAGCAAUGAAGGGGGGCAGAAGAGGGCAUUGGAGAAGAGCAAGGCUCUCUUUCUUCGGAAAAGAUACCCCUCCACUGAGGAGAAGUCAG
ensembl:lncRNA